AAAAUUUACUGCGAUCUCAACGAACAUAAGCUACUAAAUCUAUUUCAAUUAUUCCAAAACUUAUUUCACGAUGGGAACAAGGAGGCCUUUGGUAGAUCUGGUUGCUUACGAGGAGGUAAUGGAGCCAGUACCUUAUCGCCACUUUUCGAUUGACACCAAAGCUCCCACAACGCGAACGUGAAACGCAUGACUGUUCUAUGCACUGUUUAUUUACAAAGCAUUCGGAAAAUACGAUGUAAAUAUGAGGUGUACGCACAAAGUUGUCGAUUGUAAAUGACCUAUCUAACUCAGUUCUAUAGGCCUUACACAUGUUUCAAACCUUGGUCUAGCUUUAAUAUGGUGCAGUGCGAAGAGUUAACAGAUUUGGUACUAUAAAUCCGUACACCACAUACCUAAUCAAAACCGCCUUAGAACGGUUAAACUCUGGUGUGUUUCAUUUGGCACUGUGGUACGGCCGUUAGCUACGGCUCUAAUUCAGGGUUUAGAUCAAGUUUACAAACGGAUAACUUGUGUUCUGCAGGUAACUGUGACCAAGUUGCAUCACUUAUGCUUGAUUCUAUGGUUAACCCAGUGUGAGAGUUGUUACAAUUAAUUUAUAUGCGAUGAGCUGUUCUUUGAUCUGUCAUACCAUGUUUCGUUCUUCGUCAUGGAAAGGAUAUCCCAGCCGUUACACACUUUCAUGUUCAAAGAGUUUAGCCUGUGGUUCAGUUUCAUGAUUUCGUCAUUCAAUGAUGUAUUUCUCGUCGGUCUCUUUUUAGUGAUUUUUCCAGGCUAUUAUUGAACUGUUAACAGCAACUAAUUUUAAAUAAGUUGGUGAUAAAAUCAUUUACCUCUAUUCAACUUGGUUGAUCAUCGGUUCUUCCUUAUCGUUUGUUAACAGGGGGUGCCUGUAAUGUGGUAAUGGAUCCCAACAAGCCUUUCGGUUAUAAGGCUGAAUUCGGGUCAAUAUUUUGCCAAUCAUUGGCAUUUUUGUCAAUUGAAGCUUAUAUGUCAUUGCCAAUCAUUACGUUCCUUAUAACUAUUUUUGGACGUCUCU
rnacentral:misc_RNA from 1 species